UACGGAGGAUGCGAGCGUUAUCCGGAUUUAUUGGGUUUAAAGGGUGCGUAGGCGGCUUUUUAAGUCAGCGGUGAAAUUUUGCAGCUUAACUGUAACAGUGCCGUUGAUACUGAGGAGCUAGGAUUUGGUUGCUGUGGGUGGAAUGUGUGGUGUAGCGGUGAAAUGCUUAGAGAUCACACAGAAUAUCGAUUGCGAAGGCAGCUCACAAAGCCAAGAUUGACGCUGAGGCACGAAAGUGUGGGGAUCAAACAGGAUUAGAUACCCUGGUAGUCCACACUGUAAACGAUGAUAACUCGCUGUCGGCGAUACACAGUCGGUGGCCAAGCGAAAGCGAUAAGUUAUCCACCUGGGGAGUACGACCGCAAGGUUGAA
rnacentral:rRNA from 1 species